UAGUCCACGCCGUAAACGAUGAGAACUAGGCGUAGGGGGGACUGAUAUCCUCUGUGCCGCAGUUAACGCGAUAAGUUCUCCGCCUGGGAAGUACGGUCGCAAGAUUAAAACUCAAAGGAAUUGACGGGGGCCCGCACAAGCGGUGGAGUAUGUGGUUUAAUUCGAUGAUACGCGAGCAACCUUACCCAAACUUGACAUCCCUCUGCAAGCUCUUGUAAUGAGAGCCCUCCUUAGGGACAGGGGUGACAGGUGGUGCAUGGUUGUCGUCAGCUCGUGUCGUGAGAUGUUGGGUUAAGUCCCGCAACGAGCGCAACCCUUGUGAUUAUUUGCCAGCAUUUCGGAUGGGGACUAUAAUCAGACUGCCGGCGACAAGCCGGAGGAAGGUGGGGAUGACGUCAAAUCAGCACGCCCUUUAUGUUUGGGGCUACACACGUACUACAAUGGUCGGUACAGCGAGUCGCGACACUGUGAGGUGGAGCUAAUCUCUUAAAACCGGCUUAGUCGGAUUGCG
rnacentral:rRNA from 1 species